rnacentral:lncRNA from 1 species
GGAGAAAUGACUCCGAGGUUUGUAGGAAGAGCGGUAUUACCGAAGGAAGGAGGACAGAGGCAGAGACAGAGGAGACAAAGCUGCUGUACCUGACGUGUUUCAGAGAUAACACCAUGCUGUGGUUUCUGGGGCUGGCCUGUGCGCUCUGUAUGGGAGGAAGUGCUGUUGUGGGACAGAGAGAUGGAGAAAUUAUCAGCCAGAUUAAGAUGACUAACCUCGCCUUGGCUGAGAUUAAAGAGCUGCUGAAACAACAGAUUAAAGAGAUAGUGUUCCUGAAGAACACCGUGAUGGAGUGUGAAGCCUGUGGUAUGCAGCCUCGUCCCUCAUGUGUGCCCAACCCUUGCCACCCUGGGGUGAAGUGCGUGGAAACACCUCAGGGUAUACAGUGUGGGCCCUGUCCUGACGGCAUGGAAGGAAACGGUACCCAUUGCACUGACAUCGAUGAGUGCACUGUUAUGCCGUGUCACAUGGGUGUUCGCUGCAUCAACACCUCUCCGGGUUUCCGCUGUGGUUCCUGUCCUGCUGGAUACACUGGGCCGCAGGUGCAGGGCGUCGGCCUCGCCUACGCUACCACCAACAAACAGGUGUGUAAAGACAUCAAUGAGUGUGAUGGUCCCAACAAUGGAGGCUGUGUGGAGAACUCUGUCUGUAUGAACACCCCCGGCUCCUUCCGGUGUGGUCCAUGUAAGCCCGGUUAUGUUGGAGAUCAACGGCGUGGCUGUAAGCCUGAGAGAAGCUGUGGGAAUGGCCAACCCAACCCCUGCCAUGCCAGUGCAGAGUGUAUCGUCCACCGAGAGGGGACCAUUGAGUGUCAGUGUGGAGUUGGAUGGGCCGGUAAUGGCUACCUCUGCGGUCCUGACACUGACAUCGACGGAUUCCCUGAUGAGAAGUUGGACUGUCCUGAUAGGAACUGUAACAAGGAUAACUGUCUAACUGUUCCCAACUCUGGUCAAGAAGACGCCGACAGCGAUGGAAUUGGAGACGCCUGUGAUGAAGAUGCGGAUGGAGACGGGAUCCUAAACACACAGGAUAACUGUGUGCUGGUGCCCAAUGUGGACCAGAGGAAUGUUGAUGAGGACGACUUUGGCGAUGCCUGCGAUAACUGCCGUGCAGUGAAAAACAACGACCAGAAGGACACGGAUGUGGACAAAUUUGGUGACGAAUGUGAUGAAGAUAUAGAUGGAGAUGAAAUCUUUUUGUAUUCACAGACUUUAAUUUCAGGAAUCCUCAAUCACCUCGACAACUGUAAAAGGGUUCCCAACGCUGACCAGAAAGAUCGAGAUGGAGACAAAGUCGGAGACGCAUGCGACAGUUGUCCUUAUAUACCCAACCCUGAUGAUGGCGAUGGUCACCAGGACUCUCGAGACAACUGUCCAGCUGUCAUCAACAGCUCGCAGCUGGACACUGACAAAGACGGAAAGGGAGACGAGUGUGAUGAUGAUGAUGAUAAUGACGGUAUCCCUGACCUUCUGCCACCUGGUCCUGAUAACUGUCGCCUGAUUCCUAACCCUCUGCAGGAGGACUCUGAUGGCAACGGUGUUGGUAACGUGUGCGAGAAGGACUUUGACAAUGACACUAUAGUCGACACCAUCGAUGUUUGUCCAGAAAAUGCAGAGGUCACCCUCACUGACUUCAGGGAGUACCAGACGGUUGUUCUAGACCCGGAAGGAGAUGCACAGAUCGACCCCAACUGGGUGGUUCUGAACCAGGGAAGAGAGAUCGUCCAGACUAUGAACAGUGAUCCUGGGUUGGCUGUUGGUUACACUGCUUUCAGCGGCGUUGAUUUUGAAGGCACGUUUCAUGUUAAUACGGUAACGGAUGACGACUACGCUGGUUUCAUCUUUGGCUACCAGGACAGCUCCAGUUUCUAUGUGGUCAUGUGGAAGCAGGUGGAGCAGAUCUACUGGCAGGCAAACCCAUUCAGAGCUGUGGCAGAGCCGGGAAUCCAACUGAAGGCAGUCAAGUCAAACACUGGUCCUGGUGAAAAUCUGAGGAACGCCCUGUGGCACACCGGUGACACCAGUGACCAGGUGAAACUCCUGUGGAAAGACGCUCGUAAUGUUGGCUGGAAAGACAAGACGUCGUACCGCUGGUUCCUCCAGCACCGACCUGCUGAUGGUUACAUCAGAGUUCGCUUCUACGAGGGUCCUCAGAUGGUGGCAGACACGGGAGUCAUCAUAGACGCCACAAUGAGGGGAGGCCGGCUAGGAGUCUUCUGCUUUUCCCAGGAAAACAUCAUCUGGGCCAACCUGAGAUAUCGUUGCAACGACACUCUUCCUGAGGACUUUGAAACCUACAGAGCCCAGCAGGUCCAGUUGGUCGCAUGAUGACAACAAACAGGUCCAAGCAAACAUUGUUUUCCAACGCACAACUGGUUAGGAAAAUGUCUCCAAUUUUAAGAUGAAAACUGCUCGAGUGAGGAGAAAAUUACACCGCUAUAAAAACUCUUCAGAGAGGAGCCGGUAAUAUA